rnacentral:rRNA from 1 species
CCUACGGGUGGCAGCAGUGGGGAAUAUUGCACAAUGGGGGAAACCCUGAUGCAGCGACGCCGCGUGAGUGAAGAAGUAUUUCGGAAGGUAAAGCUCUAUCAGCAGGGAAGAAAAUGACGGUAGCUGAGUAAGAAGCCCCGGCUAACUACGUGCCAGCAGCCGCGGUAAGACGUAGGGGGGAAGCGUUAUCCGGAUUGACUGGGUGUACAGGGAGCGUAGACGGUCGAGCCAGUCUGACGGGAAAGCCCGCGGCUCAACUGCGGGACUGCUUUGGAAACUGUUCAACUGGAGUGCUGGCGCGGUAAGCUGCAUUCCUAGUGUAGCGGUUACCUGCGUCGAUAUUAGGCGGAACACCAGUGGCGAAGGCGGCUUCCUGGACCGUACCUGACGUUGAGGCUCGCACGCGUGGGGAGCAACCAGGAUUCGAUACCCUUGUAGUC